CUUGAACCCUGCUGUACUAUCCCGUUUACUAAACCUUUCCAGGACUUGUUUGAAAUAGCUUCUCUAAACAUCUGUCCGCAGUUCGAUGCAAUCCGUUCUAUGAAUGUAAAUCCACCGGUUAGAUGUGUCCAAACUUACGAAAGACCUUCUUGUCGAGUGGAUCAGGGACUCUCGGAAUCCCGUGUUACAGAUUUUGUCUACCCUCGUCGACCAACCCUCCGCCCAUCGAGAGCCGUCCACACGAGAAGUCGACUCAAGUCGAAGAGCCUCUAUUCGAGAAUCGUUGGGAGAGACACGAAAAUCCGUGCGACUGCUGAUCAGUCAAAUGCUCGUCGAGUAUA